AGGCUUUCGCUGCCUCUCCAUCAUGGAAGGCUCUCAUUGGCUCUCCAUCAUCUCGUUGAACAACAGUUCAAGCCCUAAGCACUUUCCUUUACCUCUCAGCCUCUCACUUGCAUCUUUCACCCUCAACUGCUAGGGUUUCUUCGUAUUUUCAUCUUCUCACCUUUUGACCGAUUGUUUUGCCUUUUCCUUCAUUUUUCACCGAUUGAAAUCGGUUCCCUCAGUGUUUGUCUAGGUGGGCUUUGAGAUGAUUGAUGCAUUUGCUGAGUCGUAGGGGAUUCCUAUGAACACUUCCUAUUCCAAAGCCAUUUUCGGAAAAGUUGGUUUGUUGCAGGUUUUGUUGGUGAAGUUCUUGUCUUCCUUGCAAAGCCUCCUCGGACUUACAUGAAUCUGAGUGGUGAAUUAGUCAAUUGCAGCAGAAAACAAUUUCCCAUCCACCUUGCAGUGCAUUUUUGGUUGCAUUUAUGAUUUGCUUUAUGUUUUCUCGAAUCUGUCAAGGAAUCUAAAUUUCAUUGAGCAUACACACAUUGCUGGUUGGAAAUUGAAUCAAAGAGCAAGGCCCAUCAUUAUUGAUCAUGCCCUUUACUUAUCAAAGAAAUCUGAUUUAGCAUUGACCACUCAACGAAGAACCCUUCCCACGUCUUUUAAACUGUUUAGUGGUAUGUCCCUAUCCCAUUAUUUAUAACAUUUAAAAAACCUAUUUAGAGACAGUGAGUUCUGAGCUACUUGUUAUUUUUUAUUGGAACUGUUGAUUAAUAGUUGUUUAACUC